AUUGAACGCUGGCGGCAGGCCUAACACAUGCAAGUCGAACGAGUGGCGGACGGGUGAGUAAUGUCUGGGCAACUGCCUGAUGGAGGGGUAUAACUACUGGAAACGGUAGCUAAUACCGCCUACCUUCAGCUGUGCCCAGAUGGGAUUAGCUAGUAGGUGGGGUAAUGGCUCACCUAGGCGACGAGCCCUAGCUGGUCUGAGAGGAUGACCAGCCACACGGGAACUGAGACACGGUCCAGACUCCUACGGGAGGCAGCAGUGGGGAAUAUUGGACAAUGGGCGAAAGCCUGAUCCAGCCAUGCCGCGUGUGUGAAGAAGGUCUUCGGAUUGUAAAGCACUUUAAGGUGGGAGGCGUUACCAACAGAAUAAGCACCGGCUAACUUCGUGCCAGCAGCCGCGGUAAUAC
rnacentral:rRNA from 1 species